rnacentral:rRNA from 1 species
GAUGAACGCUGGCGGUAGGCUUAACACAUGCAAGUCGAAGGGAAGCACGGUCUUAGCUUGCUAAGGCUGAUGGCGAACGGCGCACGUGUGACUAACGUGUCCGCAACUUGACUCACAGAGGGGGAUAACCAGCCGGAGGAAGGACUAAUACCGCGUACACUCUACGUUGGGGAGCUAAUGUAGAGGAAACGAAAUUCGCUGUGAGAUAGGCAUGCGUCCCAUUAGCUAGUUGGUUAGGUGACGGCUGACCAAGCCGACGAUGGGUAGGGGAAGUGAGAGGGUGAGCCCCGACAGGGGUACUGGCACCCGUGCCAGACACCUACGGGAGGCAGCAGUGAGGGAUAUUGGUGAAUGGACGAUUGCCUGAUCCAGCCAAGUCGCGUGAAGGAAGACUGUCUUAUGGAUUGUAAACUUCGUUUAGACGGGAAUUUCAAGAGGCACGGGUGGCUGCCUGCAUGUACCGGGUGAAUAAGCAUCGGCUAACUCCGUG